AAUGAACGUUGGCGGCGUGGAUUAGGCAUGCAAGUCGUACGGUAAGCUUCGGCUUAUAGUGGCGAAAGGGAGAGUAACGCGUGGUUACAUGCCCUCGGGACCGGGAUAGCGGCGGGAAACUGCCGGUAAUACCGGAUAAUAUCUUUGGAUCAAAGGUGUGAUUCGGCCCGAGGAGUGGACCGCGUUCUAUUAGCUUGUUGGCGGGGGAAUCGCCCACCAAUGCGACGAUGGAUACCGGGUGUGAGAGCAUGGCCCGGCUCACUGGGACUGAGACACUGCCCAGACACCUACGGGUGGCUGCAGUCGAGAAUCUUCGGCAAUGGGGGCAACCCUGACCGAGCGACGCCGCGUGCGGGACGAAGGCCUUCGGGUUGUAAACCGCUGUCAGUUGGGAGGAAGUGCCGGGGGGUUCUCCCCUCGGUUUGACCGAUCUUCAGAGGAAGGACGGGCUAAGUUCGUGCCAGCAGCCGCAGUAACAC
rnacentral:rRNA from 1 species